UGCAGUCGAACGCGAAAGCCCCGCAAGGGGUGAGUAGAGUGGCAAACGGGUGAGUAACGCGUGGGUGACCUGCCUUCGAGCGGGGGAUAACGUUCCGAAAGGGACGCUAAUACCGCAUGACAUUCUGCCUUUGAAGAGGUGGUAAUCAAAGCCGGGGAUCGCAAGACCUGGCACUCGAAGAGGGGCCCGCGUCCGAUUAGCUAGUUGGUGGGGUAAUGGCUCACCAAGGCAACGAUCGGUAGCCGGCCUGAGAGGGCGGACGGCCACACUGGGACUGAGACACGGCCCAGACUCCUACGGGAGGCAGCAGUGGGGAAUUGUUCGCAAUGGGCGCAAGCCUGACGACGCAACGCCGCGUGGAGGAUGAAGACCUUCGGGUCGUAAACUCCUUUCGAUUGGGACGAAUGGCCCCCGGGUGAACAAUCCGGGGGAGUGACGGUACCGAGAGAAGAAGCCCCGGCUAACUCCGUGCCAGCAGCCGCGGUAAUACGGGGGGGGCAAGCGUUGUUCGGAAUUACUGGGCGUAAAGGGCUCGUAGGCGGCCAACUAAGUCAGACGUGAAAUCCCUCGGCUUAACCGGGGAACUGCGUCUGAUACUGGAUGGCUUGAGUCCG
rnacentral:rRNA from 1 species